CGUCUUUUGUGCUUUGGCGAGAUGUGCGAGGAAGAUGCUGUCACUGUCUGCGUUCGGGUGCGCCCGCUCCCCGCCAGCGAGAAUGCAGACCUUGCGGAGGAAGAGAGUAUUAUCUGGAAAACUGAAGAAUGCACCAUAUCUCAGCUUGAUGGGACCAAAUCUUUUACCUUUGAUCGGGUGUUUCAUUCUUCAGAUAAUACCGAAGUCUACAAAGGGGUGGCUGCUUCUGUUAUCAAGUCGGCUGUUCAGGGAUAUAAUGGAACUAUUUUUGCCUAUGGCCAAACUGCUUCGGGGAAAACUUACACAAUGUUGGGCACCAAAGAUUGCCCAGGAAUCUUACCAAUGGCCAUCAAUGAUGUUUUCAAUAGCAUUUGAGGAAUUCCUGACAGGGAGUUCCUACUCCGUGCAUCAUACAUGGAAAUCCACAGUAAUACAGUUGAGGACCUACUGUGCAGCAGUAUACGGCAAAAGAAACCCUUGGUUGUUCGUGAAGACAUCAGUAAUUUGGUAGAUUUGGCAAGAGCUACCCAAACAGGUGCUGAAGGGAUCCAUCUCCAAGAAGGCCUCAAUGUAAACCAGAGCCUCUCCAUCUUGAGCCAAGUGAUCAAGAACCUUUGUGAAGAGCAGAGUGGAGCCUACGUCAACUACAGAGACAGUACGUUAACAUGGCUUCUGCACACUUGGUGGCAAUUCUAAGACUGUUAUCAUUUUCACGGUCAUUCUGACAUCGUUUGAAGAAACGCUUCAAACCCUCCAGUUUGCGAAUACAGCCAAAAAAAUGAAAAACCGCCCUAUAAUAAAGUAUGUUACGGAUGAGGAUGCCCUUCUAAAGAGGUAUCGUUUAAAGAUUGACAGCUUGAAACAACAAAUUGAAGAUAUCUCAUCACAAUCCCAGCCGGCAGAGAUUGUUGAAGAGAAGUAUGCUCUUCAAAAUGAGCUGCAGGAGAAAAUAAAGAAUCUCACUGAGAUGCUGGUGACGUCAGCUUCUCUUGCAUCAGCGCAAGAGUUCAAGUUUCCAAGGACAAGGAAGAGGAGAGCGACCUGGUCUGCAGGAACAACAUCCCAGGAAGCAGGGGAAUGUCUCCUGGGAAGCUUUUCCCAAAAAGCCAAACAGUUUAAAAAGCCUUGUCUAGGAGAGAUGAAAGCAUCUGUAUCCUCAGAAUGUGAUGAUCAAGGGAUGACAGCCAGUGUUACAAUUCCUGAAGAGGAACGGACUCCAGGGUCUGAGGUUGGUUUGAAGCCAGCUAGCAAGAUCCAAGAGCUGCAAAUAGGAGACACAGAAGAGGAUAGACCUUGUUUGAAAGAACAACUCAGCAAAGCUCUAGAGAAGUUGAGUUUUCUGUAUUUUUAAAGGAAAAUCAGAGAAGAUUUUGAUGAGCUUGAGAAAUAGGCAAAAGCCAACUUGCUCAAUGUCAAUUAUAAAACAAGGAGACAAAGAGUGAGGGCACGGCAAAGAAAUGACAGUAGUGCACCUGAUGCCUUAGAUGCACUUUCUUCAAGAGAUAAGUUUAGGAUAAAACCCUUUAUUCCUAUAUUCCUUUAUUAGAUGCACUUGAAGGCAAUUUAAAAAGAGGUAUUGUGUUGCAGAAUUGUUUUCCAUUCGUGCUAUCCUGAUAGUAUCUAAGCAAGGAAUUCAGCAAGGUGUAGAAUUGUUGAUGGAAUAUCUACCCAGAAGAUAUUGACCUGAAACUUCUUGAUGAACUUUUGCACUUUCACCUGUAUGUGAGACAAAGCCAUAGGCACUGCACCGCCACUGGCUUUAAACCGGAGCGCUGUUCCCGUUCAUGUAUAAUGCUGGAGACACAUGCCUGAGAACCCCUCUUUACAUCAGGCUUGGGGACAGGUUGGUGUUAGGGAGAGGACACGCUAGAGAGGAUCUUUCAUAGGCUUGGAUCUUCAGGGGAGGCCUGCAAGACGUCUCCAGUCUGAUUUGGCCCUUAUGCAGCGGAGAGCUGCAUAGCGCUGUGAGUGUAUGGCUUUUCCUUUAGUGUAAGAGCCACCUUGCCAUAGAAGCCAACCCCUACAGACCAACGAGAGAUCUCCCCUCCCAAUAAAAUAUAUGAGGGGGGCAGCCCCCCCUAAUAAAGUUUAUUGACAUAACUAUGCUUAGGAAAAUACACUCAUGGGUUAAUAUGCAAUUUAGUUUAACACCUUACAUUUUGGACAAAGGCUUGUACAUAGUUUAGGUAAAUAAAAAACCCAGGAUAUGUGAUCUUUUCUGAUUUUACAUCUAUUACAAACAUAUAAAAGCUCUUCAUGCACUACAGUAGAGAGAAAGCAUGAAAAAAAAUUACCUUUGGUUUAAAUUGACAGAAUAAUACAAGUAUUGCACUGUAAAAAGCUUCAAACACGGUGCAACCAAACAUAAAAUGUUUCAGUGCCAGCUUACAAAAAGUUCUUUAGCUAGUGUGAUUUGCUUUUUAGGGGAGGAAAAGGUAUAUAUACACAUGUGUGAAACAAUUUCUUAAACUACCUGGAUGUAAUUAAUAUUGUAUUUCAGCUUGUUAGCUACACAAUCAAGAUUCAAUAAACCUAACUGAACCUCUGCUUACAAUACAUCAGCAAAACAACAUACUGAAAUCAAAGGCAUUAGGAGUAUUAACUGACCUGUCAGUUUGUUCUGUAGAAAAGAUUUAAAGUUCCAGCCCUUAGGUCAAUCAAUCCCUAAAUAGCAGCAAUAUUAAGAUGUGUUGCCAAGUUCCUAGUAAUCCAUUCUUUAGGCUACUUUUCCAAAAACACUAUAGAUUCUACUAACUAGCCACACUGUCAAACAACAUGAGAUAAUGCAGGAUGUAUCAGGCUGGGGUGUUAUGACAGGCAUUGCUGCUGAGAGAAGCCCUUUAAUAAAGGAAGACGCUGGAAAGGUGUAUCCAAAAUUCCUGUGACAAUCUCAAAAUUCAAUUUAAGAAAUAUCUACUUUAGGCAGAAACACAGUAACUCAUCUGUAGUCUAACCCUAAUUUCACUAAUCCGCUUGCAACAUCUAACAUUAAGACAGGAGUGACAUUCCAUCUUUUACCAGUUUUAUUUUUAAACUGUUCAAUCACUAUAGGUACCGCCUUCUAUUCUAACAAAAUAGGGGAAAGCAUAUAGGAACUUCAAGUCAAUCACAAUAUCCAAUAUAUCUCAAGACACAACAAUUACAUCGCUGGAAGAUAUUAUUUUAAUACUUAACAGUUUGCCCUCUCAAGCUCAGAAACACUACCCAACACAGGUACCAACUUCUACUGUCUUUUCUAGCGUGAAAGUUUUACUCCUGAUCAUUUGCUAGUAAGAUCUUCUGAGUAACAUGACAGCAUUUUCUUGUAAUGUGAAGUCAUCUAAUGUCAUUACUGCUAGUGACACCUCUUUGCCUCUACCUUUUCAACCAACCUGGUUUAAAAAAAAUCAUAAAAAAUGUAGCUUAAGGCCACAAAGGCUUUUACAAAGUGGAAACAUCUCUUUUUAAAAAGGCAGAGAGAGAGAAAAAACUCUACUACUCUACUCCGUUGACGGGCGUUACCAUUCAAAUUGUGUGUGUGCUGUGUCAUGUGAUUAUGUGGGACGGGGCUUACCUGCUGCCACCCCCAUUUUAUCCAAAUUGGCACCCCUUGUGCCAGCUCUCAAAGCGCCUCUAGAAGCGCAAGGUGCACUUAGGUAGAUACUUUGUCCACUUAGCUCAGGACUGUCUGUACUAACAGGAUUGUGUGUCUCAAGAGUUUCAGGCUGGGGAGGGGUGUGUGUUUAAAGCUGCUUUAGGCAGAGUCAGAUCUCUGGCCCACCUAGGUCAGCCUUACCUGGAAAUCCAGGAAACCAAAGCUGUGACGCACCAGCAUGCACCCCUUAAAUGAUAAUUUUAGACUCUAGUCUUCACAGUGCUGAAAAGGGGAAAUAUUUAAGUAAUCUAAGAAGCUGCCUUAUGCAGAGCCAGAUCAUGGGACAAUCUAGCUCAGUACAGUGGUGGACCUUGGGUUCAGCAGCGCCCUGUGGGCUGCCAAAAUUCAGCUACCUCCACUUCUUGCCUUCCACUUUAUGUACAUCAUAUUCAGGACUUUAAAUUGUGCUUUUAUAUCAAAUUUCAUUUUCUGCAUAUGCUGUAAUGUUUUACUGUUGCUAUGUCCAUUGGCUAAUGCGAAUAAAGUUUUUUUUAAAUAAUCUCUUUCUAUGUACAUCAUAUAUGCAGCAUCCUCGAGGCUUCGCACCCAGUAAGACCGAACCAGUUGCACUCCCCUAAAUCUGCAUCUGCUCAGAACUGUCUAUGACUGUCAGAGGCUCUCGAGGGUUCCAGGCAGGGUGACUGUCCCAGACCUACCUGGAGAUGCCAAGGGUUGAACCUUGGUGCCUUUCUGGAUGCAAAGAGGAUGCUCUGCCACUGAGUUGCAGCCUUUCCCCAAGGUCUAACCUGGAUUGAGUUCCUUGCAUCCAAAAGUAUGUGCUCUAACCACUGAGCUCUGGUCCUCCUUCCACUUUUAACAUUAUCUGCAACCAAAUAACUUCAGUUCAGCAGUGUAGGGAGAUUCACCUGCAGGAUUUCUGCCUGGCACUCUCAGCUGUUAUAGAAGUCCAGAACUACUGCCAGUAAAGGGAGGACAGCUUAUGGCAGUGAGCACCAUCUGUUCAUCGCAUACUGGACGUUCCUUGUGUCAGUCCAACAAAAGAGAGAAAGAAUGUCCUAAAUCACACUUCUCCUUCUUUAAAAAAAACAAAGCACUUUCACAUUGCCACUCCGUAACCUUAGAACCAUGUUUAGCAGCAUACAAAAAUAAUGAAGGAUAAUGUAUUUAAAAUUCCCAACAAAUAUUGUUGUUGGGGUUUUUUUAAGUACCAACUAUCCCUGCUUUUAACAGUGCAGUCCUAUGCAUGUUUAGUGAUAAAAGGAAGUAGGACAGCCAGAUGAAUCACUGCACUGCUUUUCAAUUAGGUAUGCGCACGUUGAGUGUGGUGGAAUGUUAACUCUAUAUAGCAGCUUUGUUCCAAGUUCUAUGUAAGCUGUCAUUUCACAUCAAAAAAGUUUGUGGGGGAAAGGCACUUAUGUCCUGUGUGGGCUGUAUAAUUAUGCUGCUGCUGCUUUUUUUACAUUAGAGGUUCGGAAAUUUGACAGGCAGACACUGCCCUCA